UGGGGUAUCGCCAAGCGGUAAGGCACCGGUUUUUUGAUACCGGCAUUCCCCUGGUUCGAAUCCGUGUACCCCAGCCA
rnacentral:tRNA from 1 species